rnacentral:tRNA from 1 species
GCAGAAAUGGCAGAUAAGUGCAUUAGAUUUAGGAUCUAAAUAUAAAGAGUAUAUUCUUUUUUCUGUA